rnacentral:lncRNA from 1 species
GGGCACAAUCUGAACUGAACAGUGGAAAACUGAACAGAUUGAGAGACUUAAGGACUUCGGGGCACAGUGGACAGAUCAACCAGUGCUAUUUCUACCGAGUGAAGUCAUUUUCCUGCUAGCGCAGCAAUCCAAAAGGAGGGAAGAAAAGGAUUAUUUUGCAACUGGGGAAGAAGUGGAGAGACAGGCACAAGACACUAAUGCUUUCAGUACCUGUUUGGAUUAUAUCGCUUCAUGGGAAAUGAAAGAAAAUCUCACCCCUCGUGGCUUCAAUGAAAAACGAAAUUCAGUAAUUUACCCUCGCAAAAUGAUGUCAGAAGAUCUGGCUUCUUGUGCAUUUCAGUGCUCAGACGGUGCUCUAAUGGACCUGGAUUCUAUGCCGUCCAUUUUGAUGUGGAAACACCAGUUUCUGUUAGAAAGUGAAUUGUGUACUGAUUUGCUAAUCUCUGAAGCUGAUUCUUAACCCCAUCUCCUCCCUGGUCAGCUGGCCAUUACCUAGCUCCAGCCUCAGUUAAGGAAAUCAGAGCAGCAAGCAGCAUGACAUCAGAGUGGAUGUGCAAAGCUGCCUGCCUCGGGCUUGUUGAUUGGAGUGGCCUUGUACAGUUAUGGAAGAUGACUGAAGAGGAUUUCCUUGGUUCAGCAGACUUGUAGCUUAUCUUCUGUAUGGCUGACUAUUUGCCUCUGCUGUUGUUAAGAGGAAGGAGAGAGCAAAUGUGAAUUAGUGUCUGUGUUCAUGCUAAACCUGAUGUUUGAGCUGGGGGAACCAGAAGAGAUCAUGAAACAAAUCGGACUUGAAAAUCAGUCUCCAGGGGGUAAGGACCUUAGUUCUAGGACAUACUUUGCCUCUGUUUUGUUUGUUUGUUUGUUUGAUUAUUAUUACAACAU